rnacentral:rRNA from 1 species
UACGUAGGGUGCAAGCGUUAAUCGGAAUUACUGGGCGUAAAGCGUGCGCAGGCGGUUGUGCAAGACAGAUGUGAAAUCUCCGGGCUCAACCUGGGAACUGCAUUUGUGACUGCACGGCUGGAGUGCGGCAGAGGGGGGAUGGAAUUCCGCGUGUAGCAGUGAAAUGCGUAGAUAUGCGGAGGAACACCGAUGGCGAAGGCAAUCCCCUGGGCCUGCACUGACGCUCAUGCACGAAAGCGUGGGGAGCAAACAGG